UCCCUGGUGGUCUAGUGGUUAAGAUUUGGUGUUGUCACCGCCAUGGUCCAGGGUUCAAUCCCUGGUCGAGGUC
rnacentral:tRNA from 1 species